UUCCUACGGGAGGCAGCAGUGAGGAAUAUUGGUCAAUGGUCGGGAGACUGAACCAGCCAAGCCGCGUGAGGGAUGAAGGUACAGAGUAUCGUAAACCUCUUUUGUCAGGGAACAAAGGCGGGGACGUGUCCCCGGAUGAGUGUACCUGAAGAAAAAGCAUCGGCUAACUCCGUGCCAGCAGCCGCGGUAAUACGGAGGAUGCGAGCGUUAUCCGGAUUUAUUGGGUUUAAAGGGUGCGUAGGCGGUUCGAUAAGUUAGAGGUGAAAUCCCGGGGCUCAACUCCGGCA
rnacentral:rRNA from 1 species